UGCUUAACACAUGCAAGUCGAACGAGAAAGUUUCCUUCGGGGAACUAGUAAAGUGGCGCAAGGGUGAGUAACACGUGAAUAAUCUGCCCUCGAGAUCGGGAUAACUUGGCGAAAGCUAAGCUAAUACCGGAUAAGACCACGUUUCAUAAGAAAUGCGGCAAAAGAAGUCUCAACCUUCACUCGAGGAUGAGUUCGCGGACCAUUAGCUUGUUGGUGAGAUAAAAGCUCACCAAGGCUACCAUGGUUAGCCGGCCUGAGAGGGUGAUCGGCCACACUGGAACUGAGACACGGUCCAGACUCCUACGGGAGGCAGCAGUGGGGAAUAUUGCGCAAUGGGCGAAAGCCUGACGCAGCAACGCCGUGUGAGCGAUGAAGGCUUUAGGGUCGUAAAGCUCUGUCAAAUGGGAAGAAUUCUGACGGUACCAUUAAAGGAAGCCCCGGCUAACUCCGUGCCAGCAGCCGCGGUAAUACGGAGGGGGCAAGCGUUGUUCGGAAUUAUUGGGCGUAAAGAGUAUGUAGGCGGCCAGGUAAGUCAGGCGUGCAAGCCCGUGGCUCAACCACGGAAUUGCGUUUGAAACUACUUGGCUUGAGUACAGAAGAGGAAGGCGGAAUUCCCAGUGUAGCGGUGAAAUGCAUUGAUAUUGGGAAGAACAUCGGUGGCGAAGGCGGCUUUCUGGUCUGUUACUGACGCUGAGAUACGAAAGCCAGGGGAGCGAACGGGAUUAGAUACCCCGGUAGUCCUGGCUGUAAACGAUGGGCACUAGGUGCAGGAGGUAUCGAUCCCCUCUGUGCCGCAGCUAACGCAUUAAGUGCCCCGCCUGGGGAGUACGGUCGCAAGGCUGAAACUCAAAGGAAUUGACGGGGGCCCGCACAAGCGGUGGAGCAUGUGGUUUAAUUCGACGCAACGCGAAGAACCUUACCUGGGCUUGACAUGCACGGGAAAGCCAUAGAGAUAUGGC
rnacentral:rRNA from 1 species